GCAUGGAUUAGGCAUGCAAGUCGAACGGUGAACCAAAGCUUGCUUUGGGAAUCAGUGGCGAAAGGGUGAGUAACGCGUGAGUAACUUGCCCCCAAGUUGGGAAUAAUCCUUCGAAAGGAGGACUAAUACCGAAUGUGGUUGAGGUUUCGCAUGGAAUCUCAUCUAAAGAUUUAUCGCUUGGGGAGAGACUCGCGUCCCAUUAGCUAGUUGGUGAGGUAACGGCUCACCAAGGUGACGAUGGGUAGCUGGUCUGAGAGGACGAUCAGCCACACUGGGACUGAGACACUGCCCAGACUCCUACGGGAGGCUGCAGUCGAGAAUCUUCCGCAAUGGGCGAAAGCCUGACGGAGCAAUGCCGCGUGCAGGAUGAAGGCCCUCGGGUUGUAAACUGCUGUCACCGGGGACGAAAUUUGACGGUACCCGGAGAGGAAGCCACGGCUAACUACGUGCCAGCAGCCGCGGUAAUACGUAGGUGGCGAGCGUUGUUCGGAUUUAUUGGGCGUAAAGGGUCCGCAGGGGGUCUGUCAAGUCUGAUGUGAAAUCUCGAGGCUUAACCUCGAAACUGCAUUGGAAACUGGCAGACUAGAGUAUCGGAGAGGAGAGUGGAAUUCCUGGUGUAGCGGUGGAAUGCGUAGAUAUCACGAAGAACACCAACAGCGAAAGCAGCUCUCUGGACGAUUACUGACCCUCAUGGACGAAAGCGUGGGUAGCAAACAGAUUAGAUACCCUGCUAGUCCACGCCGUAAACGUUGUGUACUUGAUGUGGGAAGAUUUAACCCUUUCCGUGUC
rnacentral:rRNA from 1 species